rnacentral:rRNA from 1 species
AUGGCGGCCACCCUCAAGCUCAGGAUCCUCGCCGCCGCCGCCGUCGUGGCCUCGUCCAUGAUGGGCGUGGCCAUGGCUGCCGAGGGGCCGGCUCCCAGCCCGGACACCGGAGCUGCCACGACCAUCCCGGCCUUCGCCGUCGGGACGCUCGUCACCGCCGCCGUUGGGUACCUCUUCUGCUGA